UACGUAGGGGGCUAGCGUUGUCCGGAAUUAUUGGGCGUAAAGCGCGUGUAGGCGGUUCGGUAAGUCCGCUGUGAAAGUCGGGGGCUCAACCCUCGGAAGCCGGUGGAUACUGUCGAGCUAGAGUACGGAAGAGGCGAGUGGAAUUCCUGGUGUAGCGGUGAAAUGCGCAGAUAUCAGGAGGAACACCAAUGGCGAAGGCAGCUCGCUGGGACGUUACUGACGCUGAGACGCGAAAGCGUGGGGAGCAAACAGG
rnacentral:rRNA from 1 species